GACGAACGCUGGCGGCGUGCCUAAUACAUGCAAGUCGAACGAAGUUGUUUUAACUGGUGCUUGCGCCGACUUAAACAACUGAGUGGCGAACGGGUGAGUAACACGUGGGUAACCUGCCCCAAAGUGGGGGAUAACAUUUGGAAACAGAUGCUAAUACCGCAUAACCACAGAAACCUCAUGGUUUCUGUCCCCCCGUAAAGAUGGUUUCGGCUAUCACUUUGGGAUGGACCCGCGGCGUAUUAGCUAGUUGG
rnacentral:rRNA from 1 species